rnacentral:rRNA from 1 species
UACGGGGGGGGCAAGCGUUGUUCGGAAUUACUGGGCGUAAAGGGCUCGUAGGUGGCCAACUAAGUCAGACGUGAAAUCCCUCGGCUUAACCGGGGAACUGCGUCUGAUACUGGAUGGCUUGAGUUCGGGAGAGGGAUGCGGAAUUCCAGGUGUAGCGGUGAAAUGCGUAGAUAUAGGAAGGAACACCAGUGGCGAAGGCGGGUCUCUGGGCCGUAACUGACGCUGAGGAGCGAAAGCGUGGGGAGCGAACAGG